rnacentral:rRNA from 1 species
GUGGGGAAUAUUGGACAAUGGGCGCAAGCCUGAUCCAGCAAUGCCGCGUGUGUGAAGAAGGUCUUCGGAUCGUAAAGCACUUUCGACGGGGACGAUGAUGACGUUACCCGUAGAAGAAGCCCCGGCUAACUUCGUGCCAGCAGCCGCGGUAAUACGAAGGGGGCUAGCGUUGCUCGGAAUUACUGGGCGUAAAGGGCGCGUAGGCGGCUCUGUGAGUCAGGCGUGAAAUUCCUGGGCUUAACCUGGGGACUGCGCUUGAUACUGCAGGGCUUGAGGCCGAGAGAGGGUGGUGGAAUUCCCAGUGUAGAGGUGAAAUUCGUAGAUAUUGGGAAGAACACCGGUGGCGAAGGCGACCACCUGGCUCGGUACUGACGCUGAGGCGCGACAGCGUGGGGAGCAAACAGGAUUAGAAACCCUGGUAGUCC